UGCGAGUCAUUGUAGCAUACAAGGCAGACGGCUCAGUAACGCGUAGUCAACCUACCUAUAGACGGGAAUAACCUCGGGAAACUGAGUAUAAUGCCCGAUAGAACACUAUACCUGGAAUGGUUUGUGUUUCAAAUGAUUUAUUGCCGUAGGAUGGGACUGCGGCCUAUCAGUUUGUUGGUGAGGUAAUGGCCCACCAAGACUAUUACAGGUACGGGCUCUGAGAGGAGUGGCCCGGAGAUGGGUACUGAGACACGGACCCAGGCCCUAUGGGGCGCAGCAGGCGAGAAAACUUUGCAAUGUGCGAAAGCACGACAAGGUUAAUCCGAGUGGUUUCUGCUAAAGGAACCUUUUGACAGUCCUAGAAACACUGUUGAAUAAGGGGUGGGCAAGUUCUGGUGUCAGCCGCCGCGGUAAAACCAGCACCUCAAGUGGUCAGGAUGAUUAUUGGGCCUAAAGCAUCCGUAGCCGGCUCAGUAAGUUUUCGGUUAAAUCUGUACGCUCGACGUACAGGCUGCCGGGAGUACUGCAUAGCUAGGGAGUGGGAGAAGUAGACGGUACUCGGUAGGAAGUG
rnacentral:rRNA from 1 species